CAUUGCUCUCCCUCCUGCUCCUCUUUUCAUUUUAGGAUAAAUUAUUUAAACAGAGUAUGGAUCUACAAGCUCUCAGUGUAAUGCAGUUUCUCACACACAUCGCCCAGAGGCGUAGGAAGGAGGUGGGUGAGACGGGUGGCCGGGCAUUUUACGAAAGAGCAAGCAAGCGAGGCGAAAAUGCAGCGCUCUCCAAAGGUCAUCGCCACCCACCGGGUCUCCUGUGAUAUUUUCAUUACCGAGGUAAAGAAAAAAAAAAAACACCCACUCUGCCACGCUCAGCUCUCUGUGUAUGUGCACCACCUUCAGGCCUGCUGCAGUAGUCCCAGAGGCAAAACUACUACGAGUUGGGCUUGUAGAUGGAGGGGAGAUGGAGAGGGAGAAUUUUUGUGUAAACGAAGGAAAAUAGAGAAAAUGCAAACAGGAGAGAAAAAAGGAGGGGAAUGUGUAGGAUGAAAACUGGGAAUUAAAAAAAGGAGAAACUAAAUCUCACUUAGGGAGGAAGAAGUGAGAGAAAACCAGAGAGAGAAAAUGAGAGAAAAGGUGAGAGACUGAUGAAGAUGAGGCGAUAAAGAAGGGAAGAGAGAUCAGGAGAAAGAGGAGAAAUAAGAGACUUCAUUACAGGGACAUGUCUGGGGCUAAAGCUGAGAAUCAGAUAGGCUCUGAUUGUUUUCUCUUGGAUACACUGUAAUCUGGCUGAUCUCCAAACACUGCUGUAAUUGGAUUCUUCUGGGGUGAUCAGGAAAAAAAUGUCCCAUUAACUGCCGUCUUUUUUUGUCUCCAAACAACAGGACCAAGAGAAGAGAGAUGAUAACCUCAAAGAUAGACCAAGGUUUGGACUUUAGUGUAGAUCCACGAUAACAAAUCUCAUUAUUUUGUAAUAAUUGGGAUUUACAAUGGUAGAUAAAACAUUACAUAAUUUAAUGCUGUAAUAACAUGAAGGCGGUGCAUGAGUUUGCUCCUCAUCAGAUGAACCAUAUAAGCUAGGUUUUCUCUCCCAUGGGUGAAAACAGGCCGACUUUGUUUUUAAUGUAUAUGUCACCUCCCCCACUCCUCCAAGUCUACAGUCAGUCAUUUCAUGAGUGCAGUUUCCAUUUUGAUAAUCCUCUGAAUGAGAUUUCUUUGUGAAUUAUGUUUCAAUAUAUUAUAUUUUCUGGUGCACAAUCUACUUUUAUUGUGCAACAUUUAUUUAAUGAAAUACUUCUUUCUUUUCCUAGCUGGAGUUACACAAGGC